GGCUGCUCCAGGAAGCGGCACGGAGUUUGGGGGCUGGGGGCGGCUGGCCGUGCGAGACAGGAGGCGGUUGCUAUACUGAGGCGUUGUACAUAAGAAACCGUGGGAAGACAAGGCAUUGAGAUAUAAAAGCUAAGAAAGCUAUGUUUACAUUUACAAUGGGAUGGAUCUAACAACGAAGGUCUGUGUGCUCUACAGAUGGGCCCAUCAAGGGAAACCAACGCACGAACGCCGGUCCUGCCAUUUACUGCCUCUGCCACAGGACCCACGUGGCAGAAGCACCUCCCUCCCACCACUGGCCUCCUUGCGCAGGAGCCAAGUGGUGACAUCGUUACACCACGUUGCCGCUGGCACAAGGAAGUGAGUGGAGGCCCGUGGUGUGCAACUGGCCAAUGGCUGUGAUGAUGGGUGAAAUGAGGCCAAUGGUGGGGUGAGUGGAGACAGUAGUGGAGGCAGCAGUGGCCCAAGGAGAUAUGUAAACACAGCCAAGGUUGCUAUUCCAUUGCUGCUUUUUUCCAGGAAUGCCUCCAAACAAAAGCUCUUCCCACACUCCAAGUUGCCACCAGCAAUUAUAAAUACAUUUAUAUCAUUUCACCAGCAUGAAGUUUUUGAUGAGAAGUCAGGUUUGUGCUGUGUCUACUCUGAAGUCCUUUCCAAAUUCCAAACAUGUAUAUGGUUCCGCCCCAGUGUGAAUCCUUUGGUGUGAAGUGAGGGAAUCAGCUCGACUGUAGCCCUUU